rnacentral:rRNA from 1 species
AUUGAACGCUGGCGGCAGGCCUAACACAUGCAAGUCGAACGAGUGGCGGACGGGUGAGUAAUGUCUGGGAAACUGCCUGAUGGAGGGGGAUAACUACUGGAAACGGUAGCUAAUACCGCAUCCCAUCGGAUGUGCCCAGAUGGGAUUAGCUUGUUGGUGGGGUAAUGGCUCACCUGGGCGACGAUCCAUAGCUGGUCUGCGAGGAGGAUCAGCCACACUGUGACUGAGACACGGCCCAGACUCCUACGGGAGGCAGCAGUGGGGAAUAUUGCACAAUGGGCGAAAGCCUGAUGCAGCCAUGCCGCGUGUAUGAAGAAGGCCCUAGGUUUGUAAAGUACUUUCAGUCGGGAGGCGUUACCGACAGAAGAAGCACCGGCUAACUCCGUGCCAGCAGCCGCGGUAAUAC